GAAAUUUCAGUAUCUUAUAUAACCCUUGAAAAGACAGAACUUGUGAAAAAUAUACUUAGUUUCUUCAAAAAUGUUAAGAAUUUAACUUAUCAGGUAGCGCAAAAUGAAUGUGAUGUUUUAUUUGUGUCCUCACCAUGGUGGAGGGAGCAUAAAGUUUUGUCCUUAGGUAUGUCUGUCUGUCUGUACAUCCAAAAACUAGUUUCCUUUCUCUAACUUAAUUAUGUCUCAACAAAAUGUUAUAAAACUUAAACACAAUGCUUAUUACCACCAAACACAUCAAGUUUGAAUUUAAGUGGUGUCACUUUCAUUGUUCUUGAGUAAUGUCCCUUCAUGAACGCAAUUUGGCAAAUUUGCAGUUUCCAGAAUCCAACUUUAUAUUGACUCAACCAAAUAAUAUGAAACUUCUACACAAUGCUUAUUACCAUAAAAUACAGAUCAAGUCCAAAAUUAGGGUGGUGUCUCUUUCUUCAGUUACAUCCCUUUGUAAAUGGAAAAAUUGCAGAAUUUGCUGUACAUUUAUAAGUGGGGGCAUUUGUGUCCCAGGAACGUAUUCUUUAUUUAUUUUUCUUUAAUUUUUAUUGCAAAGCAUAGAAUUAAAGAAUUCUUCUUCAUGUAAAUUAAUAUUUAUAAAGUUUGUAUGAUGGAUAAACAGAAGUUUUUAAUUAUAUAUCCAAAUAUUAAUAAUUAAUCUCUUUCCUAUAGGAUUAAUAAAGGAAGCAUUUGAAAUUGUAUUUAAAAAGAAAAUGUCACACUUGUUAUUCAUGUAAACUUCUG
rnacentral:lncRNA from 1 species